rnacentral:rRNA from 1 species
AAUCAACGCUGGCGGCGUGCCUAACACAUGCAAGUCGAACGAGAAAGUGGAGCAAUCCAUGAGUAAAGUGGCGCACGGGUGAGUAACACGUGACUAACCUACCCUUGAGUGGGGGAUAACCUAGGGAAACCUGGGCUAAUACCGCAUAAUACCUACGGGUCAAAGGAGCAAUUCGCUUUGGGAGGGGUCGCGGCCGAUUAGUUAGUUGGCAGGGUAAUGGCCUACCAAGACGAUGAUCGGUANCCGGCCUGAGAGGGCGCACGGACACACUGGAACUGAAACACGGUCCAGACUCCUACGGGAGGCAGCAGUGGGGAAUUUUGCGCAAUGGGGGAAACCCUGACGCAGCAACGCCGCGUGGAGGAUGAAGUCCCGUUGGGACGUAAACUCCUUUCGAUCGGGACGAUAAUGACGGUACCGGAAGAAGAAGCCCCGGCUAACUUCGUGCCA